UACGUAGGUGGCAAGCGUUGUCCGGAAUUACUGGGUGUAAAGCGCGUGUAGGUGGUGGGACAAGUCUGCUGUGAAAGCGCCUGGCUUAACCGGGCGAGGUCGGCGGAAACUGUUCGACUCGAGGACGGUAGAGGGGGGUGGAAUUCCCGGUGUAGUGGUGAAAUGCGUAGAGAUCGGGAGGAACACCUGCGGCGAAGGCGGCCCCCUGGGCCGGCCCUGACACUGAGACGCGAAGGCGUGGGGAGCGAACGGG
rnacentral:rRNA from 1 species